rnacentral:lncRNA from 1 species
AAUUUUAAAGCCCAUUUGGAGGUCGAAUAAGGGACUUGAAAAUAGGGUCCGUGGGUAUCAUAUAGGCCCAGAAAAUGUAAGUUUUAGUUCGUAUAUACACAAGGGUAAACUUAGAAAAAUAUGUUAAGCAAGUUUGGUUAUGUAAAAACUAUAUGCUAUGUUAUGAUCUCUUAAGAAAAUAUAUGAGUAUGCAUGUCGUAGGACUUAUGAUAUAAGUAUGUGUUUAAUAUUUAUGAUUAUGAUUAUGCUUAUGUUUUGG